rnacentral:RNase_P_RNA from 1 species
GCGGAUGGCUGGAUGACCGCGGGGCGCAAGUCCCGAGGAAAGUCCGGACUCCAUGAAGCAAGGGUGCCGGGUAACCCCCGGCGGGGGCAACCCCAGGGAAAGCGCCACAGAGAAGAGUCUGCCUUGCAUGCAAGGUGAUGGUGAAACGGUGGGGUAAGAGCCCACCGCGGACCGGGCAACCGGGACGGCACGGCAAGCCCCACCCGGAGCAAUGCCGAAUAGGGGCCUCGCGCGGAAAGGUCCGGGUUUCCGGAGACCUCCGCAGGGACGCUUCAGCCCAGAGGCCCGGGUUGGCAGCUUGACCGCCGCGGUAACGCGUGCGGCAGAGGAAUGGUCAUCCAUGGGGGGAAACCCCCGGGACAGAAUCCGGCUUACAGGCCAUCCGCGCGU